GACGAACGCUGGCGGCAUGCUUAACACAUGCAAGUCGAACGAUGAAGCCGGAGCUUGCUCCGGUGGAUUAGUGGCGAACGGGUGAGUAACACGUGAGCAAUCUGCCCUUGACUCUGGGAUAACUGCGGGAAACUGUAGCUAAUACCGGAUACGACACCUUGGGGCAUCCCAGGGUGUGGAAAGAAUUUCGGUCAAGGAUGAGCUCGCGGCCUAUCAGCUAGUUGGUGAGGUAAUGGCUCACCAAGGCGACGACGGGUAGCCGGCCUGAGAGGGUGACCGGCCACACGGGAACUGAGACACGGUCCAGACUCCUACGGGAGGCAGCAGUGGGGAAUAGUGCACAAUGGGCGAAAGCCUGAUGCAGCAACGCCGCGUGAGGGAUGAAGGCCUUCGGGUUGUAAACCUCUUUUAGCAGGGAAGAAGCGAAAGUGACGGUACCUGCAGAAAAAGCACCGGCUAACUACGUGCCAGCCGCCGCCGUAA
rnacentral:rRNA from 1 species